rnacentral:lncRNA from 13 species
CCCCUGAUGCCCAAAAAACAAAAACAAACACACACACACACAAAAUAAAACCAAAUAAAGCCAUGACAAUCUCACGUUGUUUUCUGGGCAAGUUAGGUUUUGUCAAGAAAGGGUGUAAUAUAACUAAGUAACAGUCCGCCUAGAAGCAUUUGUAGUGGAUGAUGGAGAGCUGCAGGGGUUGGCCUCAAAGUAUUCCUGCUUGCUGAUCCACAUCUGCUGGAAGGUGAACAGAGGCCUGGAUGGAGCCAUCGAUCCACACGGAGUAUUUGCGCUGGAACAGAGCAAUGAUCUUGAUCUUCAUCGUGCUGGGCGCCAGGGUGGUGAUCUCCUUCUGCAUCCUGUCGGCGAUGCCAGGGUACACGGUGGUGCCGCCAGACAGCACUGGGUUGGCGUACAGGUCUUUGUGGAUGUCUACGUUACACCUCAUGAUGGAGUUGAAGGUAGUUUCGUGGAUGCGACAGGAUUCCACGCUCAGGAAGGAAGGCUAGAAGAGCGCCUUAGGGCAGUGGAACCACUCUUUGCUGAUAGUGAUGACCUGGCUGUUGGGCAGCUCGUAGCUCUUCUCCAGGGAGGAGCUGGAGGCCUCCACUGCCAUCUCCGGAUCCAAGUCCAGGAUGAGGUAGCACCGCUUCUCCUUGAUGACGCGCAAGAUUUCCCGCUCCGUCGUGGAGGCGAAGCUGUAGAGGUGAUCCAUGAGGAUCUUCAUGAGGUAGCCAGUCAGGUCCCGGCCAGCCAGGUCCAGACACAGGAUGGCGUGGGGGAGGGCAUACCCCUGGUAGAUGGGCACAGUGUGGGUGAUGCCAUCGCCAGAGUCCAUCACAAUGUGACCAGACGCAUACAGGGACAGGAGGGCCUGGAUAGCCACUUACAUGGCUGGGGUGUUGGAGGUCUCAGACAUAAUCUGGGUCAUCUUCUUGCAGUUGGCCUUGGGGUUCAAGGGGGUCCUCAGUCAGCAGCAUGGGUGCUCCUUGGAGCCACAUGCAACUCUUUGUAGACGUUGUGGUGUCAGAUCUUCUCCACGUCAUCCCAGUUGGUGAUGAUGCCGUGCUCGAUGGGGUACUCCAGGCUCAGGAUGCCUCUCUUGCUCUGGGCCUUGUCGCCCACGUAGGGGCCCUUUUGACCCAUGCCCACCAUCACACAGGUGUGGGUGGGUAGCGGAGCUCCAUGCUCUCAGGGCAGACAGAGUCUCAGCGGUCUGUUCUAUGUUCUUAACCUUUUUUUUUUUUUUUUGGUCUUAUGGAACUCUUGACUUUCUGGUAGAAUCUGGGACCCCCUAUCCAAGUAAUGUUUCUAUGUGC